rnacentral:rRNA from 1 species
GAUGAACGCUAGCGGCAGGCCUAAUACAUGCAAGUCGAACGGGAUCCAGAUCAAAGCUUGCUUUGGUCUGGUGAGAGUGGCGCACGGGUGCGUAACGCGUGAGCAACCUACCCUUGUCAGGGGGAUAGCCCGGCGAAAGUCGGAUUAAUACCGCAUGACAUCAUUGAGAGGCAUCUUUCGAUGAUCAAAGAUUUAUCGGACAAGGAUGGGCUCGCGUGACAUUAGCUAGUUGGUAAGGUAACGGCUUACCCAGGCUGCGAUGUCUAGGGGCUCUGAGAGGAGAAUCCCCCACACUGGUACUGAGACACGGACCAGACUCCUACGGGAGGCAGCAGUAAGGAAUAUUGGUCAAUGGACGGAAGUCUGAACCAGCCAUGCCGCGUGCAGGAAGACGGCCCUAUGGGUUGUAAACUGCUUUUAUACGGGAACAAACGUCGGUACGUGUACCGGUCUGAGUGUACCGUAAGAAUAAGGAUCGGCUAACUCCGUG